AAAGAUUGAAAAAUUGAUUAAAUCUCAAGAAGGGGCACUUGAUAAGUUUUUUGGCAGUAGUAAACGAACACAUAAUGAAGAUGUAGUUACUGAAGAAGUGUUUAACGAGAAUGAUAACAAAAAUAAUACAAUUGAGGAAGGACAUUGUGUGAUGAAUGAAGAGGUGUCUACUGACAAAGAUAAUGAACCAUUUUCUCUCAACCUUAUUGAUCCAGCAAAUUGGGGAAAUAUGAAUACG
rnacentral:lncRNA from 1 species